AUUGAACGCUGGCGGCAGGCCUAACACACGCAAGUCGAGCGGAUGAAGGGAGCUUGCUCCUGGAUUCAGCGGCGGACGGGUGAGUAAUGCCUAGGAAUCUGCCUGGUAGUGGGGGAUAACGUCCGGAAACGGGCGCUAAUACCGCAUACGUCCUGAGGGAGAAAGUGGGGGAUCUUCGGACCUCACGCUAUCAGAUGAGCCUAGGUCGGAUUAGCUAGUUGGUGGGGUAAAGGCCUACCAAGGCGACGAUCCGUAACUGGUCUGAGAGGAUGAUCAGUCACACUGGAACUGAGACACGGUCCAGACUCCUACGGGAGGCAGCAGUGGGGAAUAUUGGACAAGGGGCGAAAGCCUGAUCCAGCCAUGCCGCGUGUGUGAAGAAGGUCUUCGGAUUGUAAAGCACUUUAAGUUGGGAGGAAGGGCAGUAAGUUAAUACCUUGCUGUUUGGACGUUACCAACAGAAUAAGCACCGGCUAACUUCG
rnacentral:rRNA from 1 species